rnacentral:tRNA from 1 species
CUAAAACCUAUAGAACUGCUCUACAUCUCCUGAAUGCAACU